UACAGAGGGUGCGAGCGUUACUCGGAAUUACUGGGCGUAAAGCGUGCGUAGACGGUAGCGUAAGUCGGGUGUGAAAGCCCCGGGCUCAACCUGGGAAUUGCAUUCGAGACUGCUCUGCUAGGGUGCGGAAGAGGGAAGCGGAAUUUCCGGUGUAGCGGUGAAAUGCGUAGAUAUCGGAAGGAACACCAGUGGCGAAAGCGGCUUCCUGGUCCAGCACCGACGUUCAGGCACGAAAGCGUGGGGAGCAAACAGG
rnacentral:rRNA from 1 species